CCACCCCGUCUCUCUACCUCUCUGUGUGUCUCUCUCUGACUCUCUCUGUGUCUGCCUCUCUCUGUGUAUCUCUGUCUUUCUCUGGCUCACAGACUCCAUCUUCCAUGGCAGCAACUGGCUUGAUGCUCUCUUUCGGUGUCAUCUUCGCUUGGUAACCAUGGGUGGGAGGAAAGGAGGAAUGGCCACUGCUCCCUUGUUUGGAGGUCAAAGGAACAGGAGGGGCACAGGGAGGUCCGGAGGAGCCCAGCAGAGCCCCUGCCCAGCCUGGGAGGAGGCCUCAGCCCAGCUCAUGUCCCGCUGUGUUGGCAGUCAGACGGUCACGUGGCAUGGCCACCCUGGCCCCAAAGCCGGUGUGUUUC
rnacentral:lncRNA from 1 species